rnacentral:rRNA from 1 species
UACAGAGGUCCCAAGCGUUGUUCGGAAUUACUGGGCGUAAAGGGCGCGUAGGCGGCCGAUCAAGUUAGAUGUGAAAGUCCUGGGCUUAACCUGGGGACUGCAUUUGAUACUGAUUGGCUUGAAUUCGGGAGAGGAUAGCGGAAUUCCCAGUGUAGAGGUGAAAUUCGUAGAUAUUGGGAAGAACACCGGUGGCGAAGGCGGCUAUCUGGACCGACAUUGACGCUGAGGCGCGAAAGCGUGGGGAGCAAACAGG